GACGAACGCUGGCGGCGUGCUUAACACAUGCAAGUCGAACGGAAAGGCCCUGCUUUUGUGGGGUGCUCGAGUGGCGAACGGGUGAGUAACACGUGAGUAACCUGCCCUUGACUUUGGGAUAACUUCAGGAAACUGGGGCUAAUACCGGAUAGGAGCUCCUGCUGCAUGGUGGGGGUUGGAAAGUUUCGGCGGUUGGGGAUGGACUCGCGGCUUAUCAGCUUGUUGGUGGGGUAGUGGCUUACCAAGGCUUUGACGGGUAGCCGGCCUGAGAGGGUGACCGGCAACAUUGGGACUGAGAUACGGCCCAGACUCAUACGGGAGGCAGCAGUGGGGAAUAUUGCACAAUGGGCGGAAGCCUGAUGCAGCAACGCCGCGUGCGGGAUGACGGCCUUCGGGUGGUAAACCGCUUUCGCCUGUGACGAAGCGUGAGUGACGGGAAUGGGUAAAGAAGCACCGGCUAACUACGU
rnacentral:rRNA from 1 species